rnacentral:rRNA from 1 species
UACGAAGGGGGCUAGCGUUGCUCGGAAUCACUGGGCGUAAAGGGUGCGUAGGCGGGUCUUUAAGUCAGGGGUGAAAUCCUGGAGCUCAACUCCAGAACUGCCUUUGAUACUGAGGAUCUUGAGUUCGGGAGAGGUGAGUGGAACUGCGAGUGUAGAGGUGAAAUUCGUAGAUAUUCGCAAGAACACCAGUGGCAAAGGCGGCUCACUGGCCCGAUACUGACGCUGAGGCACGAAAGCGUGGGGAGCAAACAGG